AUGGCCGGCGGCGCCAUCGUGGACACGGCCGGCGGAAAGCAAUACCCUGGCAAGCUCACCCUGUACGUCGUCUUCACCUGCGUCAUCGCCUCCACCGGCGGCCUCAUCUUCGGGUACGACAUCGGCAUCUCAGGCGGCGUGACGUCCAUGGACCCCUUCCUCUUGAAGUUUUUCCCGGAGGUGUACCGGCAGAAGCAGGCGGCGAGCAAGAGCAACCAGUAUUGCCAGUACGACAACCAGCUGCUCCAGGCCUUCACGUCCUCACUCUACCUCGCCGCACUCGUCGCCUCCUUCUUCGCGUCCGCUGUCACCCGCAUCCUCGGCCGCAAGUGGUCCAUGUUAGCCGGCGGCUUCACCUUCCUCGUGGGAGCCGCCCUGAACGGCGCCGCCCAGAACGUCGCGAUGCUCAUCGUUGGACGCAUGCUGCUUGGCGUCGGCAUCGGGUUCGCCAAUCAGUCUGUGCCGGUGUACCUAUCGGAGAUGGCACCUGCGCAUCUCCGCGGCAUGCUCAACAUUGGUUUCCAGCUCAUGAUCACCAUCGGCAUCCUGGCAGCGGAGCUCAUCAACUACGGCACUAACAAAAUCAAAGGCGGACACGGUUGGCGCGUCAGCCUGGCUCUCGCGGCUGUGCCUGCGGUGAUCAUCACUGUCGGCGCACUCUUCCUCCCCGACACCCCCAACUCACUGAUGGAGCGAGGCCACCCGGAGGCGUCGCGUCGGAUGCUACGCCGUAUCCGCGGCACCGACGACAUCGGCGAGGAGUACGCGGACCUAGUGGCGGCGAGGGAAAUAUCAAAGCAAGUACAGCAUCCGUGGCGCAACAUCCUGAUGCGCAAGUACCGCGCGCAGCUCACCAUGGCUGUGCUCAUCCCCUUCUUCCAGCAGGUCUCCGGCAUCAACGUCAUCAACUUCUAUGCGCCCGUACUCUUCGAGACCCUAGGUUUCAAGGGAGACGCGUCGCUUCUCUCGUCGGUGAUGACUGGCGGCGUGCUCGUGCUCGGGUCGGUGGUGUCGAUGUUCACCGUCGACAGGCUGGGGCGGCGGAAACUGUUCCUGCAGGGUGGCGCACAGAUGCUGGUAUCCCAGAUCGCGGUGGGAACUCUGAUCGCGGUGAGGUUCGGGACAAGUGGGGUGGGAGAGAUGCCCAGGGGUUAUGCAGCGGCGGUGGUGCUCUUCAUCUGCGUGUACGUGGCGGGCUUCGUGUGGUCGUGGGGAGCGCUGGGAUGGCUGGUGCCGAGUGAGAUCUUCCCGCUGGAGAUCCGUUCGGCGGGGCAGAGCAUCACCGUGUCGGUGAACAUGCUCUUCACCUUCGUCAUCGCGCAGGCCUUCCUCACCAUGCUCUGCCACAUGAAGUUCGGGCUCUUCUACUUCUUCGCUGGCUGGGUGGUGAUCAUGACCGCCUUCGUCGCGCUUUUCCUUCCGGAGACCAAGAACGUGCCCAUGGAGGAGAUGGUGCUCGUCUGGAAGGGACACUGGUUCUGGAGCAGGUUCAUCGGAGACGCCGACGAUGUCCACACCGGUGUCAAUGUGUUAGCAUCAACCUAG
rnacentral:rRNA from 1 species